UUACAGAUGAAUCUCUCCCUGCUGCCAGAGCUCGACUGUGUUACAUGAUGGCUGGAGUUAGAAGUUAGGUGCAUCAUGCCCCACAUACACUUGAGCCAAGGCUCCGUGGAGGUGGCAACUUCCACCAAGGAACUAACCUACAAACCAAGAUGCAUGUCCAUUCUACUAAGCAAUAAUUCUACAGAUCUCCUCAUCUUUUCCAGGUUGCAUCUCCUCACGUCUGUACAGCUGCCGCUGAGGUGACAGGCCAUCAUGACCAUCCAUCCAGAGUUCCAGGAGUGGUUCAGUCUUUGUGCCUGCUGCCUGUGUUGGUUUCAAACAACUCCAACGGAAGGUCAGGCCUACUACUGCGACAAGUUAAAACAUCAACACUAAUGUCGGCAGCCUGAGUCCUAGGAAUUAGGUCGCUGAGUAAGAGUUUACUGUCCAAACUGUAAAUUGUAGAAGUAAAUGUUCAAACUGCCAUUUAAAUGUCUUUAUAGUGGGGAUGUGAAAUGUUCUCCUACAGGUUCAUGUUUGAACACUUGGUGAACAAUGUUGCUUUGGGAAGGUGUGGCACCUUUAGGAGGUGGAGGGAGUGGGCUGUUGAGAGUGGGCCUUGGAGGUUACAGCCUUACCCUCCCUUCUAAUUGGCCUGCUGUGUUGCCUGAUCCAGGGAGAUGUUGAGGAAUUCCAGUUACCCACUGUCAACUCUACCAUGCCUUCCUCAACAUGACAGUCUGCACCCUCUCAAACUGCAAGCCUUCCAGCAAGUCCUUCCCCUUUUAUGUUGCUUCUGUCAGCUAUUUUGUCACACUGAAAAGUAACUAAUUCAAAUGCUGAGUGAACAGUCAGCACAGCCCCCCCCUCACAGAAUGUGAGCUAAAGCAGCCCAUGCAGAUAGACAAAUGGAGGCAGUGCUCAGGCCUUCAUCUGACCACUCAUCUAUAAUUGGAAAUUUUCCUGUGAAAGCACCUUUUUUUUGACCAAAUUAUUUUUUAGCUAAACUUUUUAUAAAAAUCAUGAAAAGAUUGUUAAGAGCCAGGGGUAGGUAGUACAUGAACGUUAGGAAACAGAGUCCUCUAGGCUCCUGGGAACUUGCUCAUAUGAACUUAGAGCAAUGGUGACAGCAUAAAC